UAAUCAGUGGUUGGUGGUGAUAGAUAC
rnacentral:piRNA from 1 species